rnacentral:rRNA from 1 species
UACGUAGGGUGCGAGCGUUGUCCGGAAUUAUUGGGCGUAAAGAGCUCGUAGGCGGUGUGUCACGUCGUUCGUGAAAACCUGCAGCUUAACUGUGGGCGUGCGGUCGAUACGGGCAUCACUGGAGUUCGGCAGGGGAGACUGGAAUUCCUGGUGUAGCGGUGAAAUGUGUAGAGAUCGGGAGGAACACCGGUGGCGAAGGCGGGUCUCUGGGCAUUCCCUGACGCUGAGGAGCGAAAGCGUGGGGAGCGAACAGG